UACGUCUGGCAACGUUAGAUUUUCGGGUGACUGAAAUAUCGGGCUGGUUUUAGCAAUGGCUGUGUGUAUUUCAAUAAUUGGCAAGGAUAAUGCGCCUUUGUACUUAACUACAGCCGAUAUGGACAAAGAGCUAGAGUUACAAUAUCGUGUACAUGCAGCACUCGACGUUGUUGAAGAAAAGUGCCAACCACUGAGUAAGGGCACACCAGAAUCGAAGGAACUCUACUUAGGCAUGCUGUACUCCACAGAGACUCACAAAAUAUAUGGGUUUGUAACAAAUACAAAAAUUAAGUUUAUCAUUGUCGUGGAUUCUGGAAAUAUAGCAUUGCGGGAGAAUGAAGUGCGGGCGAUGUUUCGAAAUUUGCAUAUGCUAUACACGGAUGCGAUUUGUAAUCCUUUUUAUGCGCCGGGCGAGCCACUGACAUCCAAGUAAAAAAUUUGAUCGGGCCGUGCAGAAAAUUAUGGGAGGCAAUGCCUAGAAAACUCUUUAGUUUAUUUACUGUACAUCAUAGGAGGUGGGCCACUCCUCAGCAUAAGUGUAUGGUGGAAGUUCUGCGAGGAAUUUCUUCGUUUCGGCAUCACGUUCCCAUUCACCACUCACGAAGUGCCCUGAAAUACCCAGCUGCAUAAGGGGUUCAUCAAA
rnacentral:misc_RNA from 1 species